rnacentral:rRNA from 1 species
UACAGAGGGUGCAAGCGUUAAUCGGAGUUACUGGGCGUAAAGGGCGCGUAGGCGGUUAUUUAAGUUUGAUGUGAAAUCCCUGGGCUUAACCUAGGAACUGCAUUGAAAACUGGAUAACUGGAGUACUGUAGAGGGUAGUGGAAUUUCCGGUGUAGCGGUGAAAUGCGUAGAGAUCGGAAGGAACACCAGUGGCGAAGGCGGCUACCUGGACAGAUACUGACGCUGAGGCGCGAGAGCGUGGGGAGCAAACAGG